CGCCUGGGGAGUACGGCCGCAAGGUUAAAACUCAAAUGAAUUGACGGGGGCCCGCACAAGCGGUGGAGCAUGUGGUUUAAUUCGACGCAACGCGAAGAACCUUACCUGGCCUUGACAUGCAGAGAACUUUCCAGAGAUGGAUUGGUGCCUUCGGGAACUCUGACACAGGUGCUGCAUGGCCGUCGUCAGCUCGUGUCGUGAGAUGUUGGGUUAAGUCCCGUAACGAGCGCAACCCCUAUCCCUAGUUGCUAGCAGUUCGGCUGAGAACUCUAGGGAGACUGCCGGUGACAAACCGGAGGAAGGUGGGGAUGACGUCAGGUCAUCAUGGCCCUUACGGCCAGGGCUACACACGUGCUACAAUGGUGCGUACAGAGGGCUGCAAACCCGCGAGGGGGAGCUAAUCUCACAAAACGCAUCGUAGUCCGGAUCGGAGUCUGCAACUCGACUCCGUGAAGUCGGAAUCGCUAGUAAUCGCGAAUCAGAAUGUCGCGGUGAAUACGUUCCCGGGCCUUGUACACACCGCCCGUCACACCAUGGGAGUGGAUUGCACCAGAAGUGGUUAGUCUAACCUUCAGGAGGACGAUCACCACGGUGUGGUUCAUGACUGGGGUGAAGUCGUAACAAGGUAACCGUA
rnacentral:rRNA from 1 species